AUUGAACGCUGGCGGCAUGCCUUACACAUGCAAGUCGAACGGAAACGGGCCUUCUGGUGCCGGCGAGUGGCGAACGGGCGAGUAAUACACAGGAACGUGCCCGAUCCUGGGGGAUAACGAGACGAAAGCUUUGUGAAUACACCAUAGGAUCUGAGGUUGUACGCCAUGGACCGCAAGGGCUUGUGUGGGCGGAGGGGCCGAUGGCUGCUGAGGAAGUUGGUGGGAGAAAAGCUUUCCAAGACGACGAUCUGGAGCUGGUGUGAGAGGAUGAUCGGCCACACUGGGACUGAGACACGGCCCAGACUACUACGGGAGGCAGCAGUGGGGAAUGUUGGACAAUGGGCGCAAGUCUGAUCCAGCGAUGCCGAGUGUAAGAUGAAGGCGUUCUGGUUGUAAACUGCUUUUGUACGGAACGAAACGCCUUCUUUUAAGACAGGGGGGGCAUGACGGUACCGGAUGAAUAAGCACCGGCUAACUACGUG
rnacentral:rRNA from 1 species